rnacentral:lncRNA from 1 species
UCAACCUGAUGCCAUGAAGUGCAAUUUGGUUGCCAGCCAUGUGUGAAAGUCUAAUGACGAAAUAAGAAGAUCCGAAGACAACGGCUUUCGUCUUUUCGUUGUUAAAUAUGGCAGGUCGUCGGAUCCUCAAGACUUUCAAGACAAACACUACGUAGUUUCUGCGUUCCAGGUACGCUACCUGGUAAAACUCCACUUCCCGGACUAGUGGACUAACAUUUAUUACCCAUUGAACAAUCCUCAAGCAGCUGGGGCGUGAGGUAUCUGCUGAAUCUCGUAUCAUCUGGUAAAACACUGACAACGAGUAAGCGAGCGCACGAACACAAAAACCAGCUACACUAGGCAUCCGACCCCGAGCGAGCUUUAGCGA